GGACCCUGGGGAGGGAAGUGGAGGAUACAACCUUGGGCCUGCAGGCCAGGCUACCUACCCACUUGGAAACCCACGCCAAAGCCGCAUCUACAGCUGAGCCACUCUGAGGCCUCCCCUCCCCGGCGGUCCCCACUCAGCUCCAAAGUCUGUCUCCCUUUUCUCUCCCACACUCUCUCAUCCCCUGGAUUCCUCUCUACUUGGUUCUCAUUCUUCCUUUGACUUCCUGCUUCCCUUUCUCAUUCAUCUGUUUCUCACUUUCUGCCUGGUUUUGUUCUUCUCUCUCUCUUUCUCUGGCCCAUGUCUAUUUCUCUAUGUUUCUGUCUUUUCUUUCUCAUCCUGUGUAUUUUCGGCUCACCUUGUUUGUCACUGUUCUCCCCUCUGCCCUUUCAUUCUCUCUGUCCUUUUACCCUCUUCCUUUUUCCCUUGGUUUCUCUCAGUUUCUGUGUCUGCCCUUCACCCUCUCACACUGCUGUUUCCCAACUCGUUGUCUGUAUUUUUGGCCCGAACUGUGUCUUCCCCAACCCUGUGUUUUUCUCACUGUUUCUUUUUCUCUUCUGGAGCCUCCUCCUUGCUCCUCUGUCCCUUCUCUCUUUCCUUAUCAUCCUCGCUCCUCAUUCCUGCGUCUGCUUCCUCCCCAGCAAAAGCGUGAUCUUGCUGGGUCGGCACAGCCUGUUUCAUCCUGAAGACACAGGCCAGGUAUUUCAGGUCAGCCACAGCUUCCCACACCCGCUCUAUGAUAUGAGCCUCCUGAAGAAUCGAUUCCUCAGGCCAGGUGAUGACUCCAGCCACGACCUCAUGCUGCUCCGCCUGUCAGAGCCUGCCGAGAUCACGGAUGCUGUGAAGGUCAUGGACCUGCCCACCCAGGAGCCAGCACUGGGGACCACCUGCUACGCCUCAGGCUGGGGCAGCAUCGAACCAGAGGAGUUCUUGACCCCAAAGAAACUUCAGUGUGUGGACCUCCAUGUUAUUUCCAAUGACGUGUGUGCGCAAGUUCACCCUCAGAAGGUGACCAAGUUCAUGCUGUGUGCUGGACGCUGGACAGGGGGCAAAAGCACCUGCUCGGGUGAUUCUGGGGGCCCACUUGUCUGUAAUGGUGUGCUUCAAGGUAUCACGUCAUGGGGCAGUGAACCAUGUGCCCUGCCCGAAAGGCCUUCCCUGUACACCAAGGUGGUGCAUUACCGGAAGUGGAUCAAGGACACCAUUGUGGCCAACCCCUGAGCA
rnacentral:sRNA from 1 species